AUUGAACGCUGGCGGCAGGCCUAACACAUGCAAGUCGAGCGGAUGAAGGGAGCUUGCUCCUGGAUUCAGCGGCGGACGGGUGAGUAAUGCCUAGGAAUCUGCCUGGUAGUGGGGGAUAACGUCCGGAAACGGGCGCUAAUACUGCAUACGUCCUGAGGGAGAAAGUGGGGGAUCUUCGGACCUCACGCUAUCAGAUGUGCCUAGGUCGGAUUAGCUAGUUGGUGGGGUAAAGGCCUACCAAGGCGACGAUCCGUAACUGGUCUGAGAGGAUGAUCAGUCACACUGGAACUGAGACACGGUCCAGACUCCUACGGGAGGCAGCAGUGGGGAAUAUUGGACAAUGGGCGAAAGCCUGAUCCAGCCAUGCCGCGUGUGUGAAGAAGGUCUUCGGAUUGUAAAGCACUUUAAGUUGGGAGGAAGGGCAGUAAGUUAAUACCUUGCUGUUUUGACGUUACCAACAGAAUAAGCACCGGCUAACUUCGUG
rnacentral:rRNA from 1 species